rnacentral:lncRNA from 1 species
GUUUGUAUUUUUAUUUAUGUAGUUAACUACGGACAUGUUUAUUGUACAGCUGUGUGGGGUUCAUAAUUGUAGUUAUCCUUUUUUGUCCUUUUUCUUCUUUAAGCUGGAACCAGGGGAGCAUUGGAUCCGCAAGGGGUCAGGAGAUAUUCCGGUGCUUUACCUAAUUCAAAGCUCACCAAUAAUUUUACUUCCCCGAAAUUACAUCCUCCUUUAGCUUCAGGUGAUCUGAAUUGGUUUAGCAUAAUAGAUUGAGUUCCAUGUUUCCUUUUCUCUGACUUGAAGAGCUAGAGCUAAAUUAUAUUAUUUAAUCUGGUUAGAAAUAUCUAUGUUAUUCAUUAUAUAUCUGAAUGAAGGAAAGUGAGGCAUGUAACUAAGCCUUUUCCCAUUGGGCUAUGUGUACAAUAAAUGUAUUUUUAUCAUUUAGUGGCAUACCAUGGCUCAUAUUUUGAAUGGCGCAGGUGUCCAACGGAAGCUGGAUAUGGUAAAUCAGGUCAGUUGUUCUCUACUUUCUCUUUUUCUUGCCAUAUGCAUGCUUUCUCUUUACCCCAUGAUACGCAGAAUAUCAAAAGCUACUUAUAAUUUGAGAUCCUUUUUUUACAUAAUAGUAGAUUAUCUCUUAAAUGGUAAAUGCUUUUCUGGACUGUUAUAGUGUUCAUCUAAAAUCUAUGCUGGUUCAUUUCUUAAAUCCCUCUUUGUUAUGCCAACAAUUUCUUAUUGAUUCUUCUGAAGGAUGGAAUUAAGAAUGAUAAGUCGAUGAAAACUACAAGGCAACCAAAAUAUCGUCCACCAGGAAAGGACAGCCCAAGUAAGCCUUUCAGCCUUGCGUUCUCUAUUAGUUAUUGUAUUAGAUACUUGCUGUGAUGCUUGAGUUGAAAUGGUUUACUUAUCCAUACCCAGUAUGUAUCCAUACCGUGCUUCUUCGGUAGACAUGAGAUCGAUUCAUGUACAUAAGUACCCUGUACCAGUACCCUUAUCAGAAUGUGUAUUGGCCUAUUGGGUACUCGUACCUGAAUCCAUGCAACUUAAGAUAUUUCUUUUAUGGUUGGCAUUUGAUGGAAAGGAUUCCAAAAAAUAAGCUAUACAUAUAACCGCUUCAAUUGAUUGGUAUUCUUUAACAGUAUUUUAACCGGAAAGUUAAAUGAUAAAUAAUUCUCUCUGUUUCCUUCAAUGAACAAAGUGAUUGUACUUUUGUUAAUUUAGUUAUAUUUGGUUGUUGGCAGCUUCAAUGAACAAAGGGAGGAGUGCACGUGGUGUUCCGGAAACUGCUGAGAAGUUAGGGAAUAUGUCUGUUGGUACUCGAAGACAAUCGAUGGGACAACGUCCUCCUCCAAUGAAGACUGGGGUCAAUUGGAUUCCUGAAUCUAGAAACUUCAUGCUGAGGCCCACUCAACAGAUUCCAACUGGAAGAACUUUCACAAGAAAAGUUGCAGGAUGACAAGUAUGACUUGAUGCGCUAGAUUCUAUAAUUGUGAAUGUGGGGGUUUUGGGUCUGUUCUGAAUAAUGAUCAUAACUUUUGCGAGAGUCUAAACUACAGCGAGUCUUGCUUGUGUUAUUUUUAAUUGUCGUUUGGCAUUGUGUGUAAUACACAGUAGUGUUUAUGCCUUUUUAAUAAUAUGCAAUAUUAUACAAGUUUUUCUAUUUUUGUAUGGUGUGGAAUUUUCAUCUGGUUGUGGCAUGAUCCACUACAUGCAUUAACUUGGUAGAGGUGCUUAUGCAUGAUGUAUCUGCUCAUAAAAUAACAUUUUUUUUAAAUAAAAUAAUCAUUUUAUGUGAUCACUAACUUUAAGAGAUAGUAAAAUUUACUUUUGACGGGCUAACUAGAACUAAAUGAGGUUUUUACUCUUCUGUGUUAUAUAAGAUUGUGUUUUAAUCUCAAACUUUUAGUAAUUGUAUUCAGUAGUUUAUCAAUUUGCCGUAUUGAGAAGAAUAAUGUUCAAGACCUGAACUAAGAUGGCAAAAAAAUCCGUACUCGCGGAUAAAACUUGUAUGGGCAUGGGUAUGAGUUAUAAAUGGAUACCUGCAUGUAUUAUAAACGGGUUUUUAAAAGUAUCAGUAGUACAUACGGGCGAGUAUGUGUAUUAUAAUACCCGUACUUGUGGAUUCCCGUUAUUUAUAUGAUUAAUAUAUUAUAUUUAAUUAAAAUAAAAAGUACAUUAUUCUAACAUUCAUACACUAUGUAUAUUUUUUUCAUUUUACUUUGUUUACAUAUUUUAUUGAGUUUGGUGGUGAAACACCUACAAAUAUUAUUACAUGUAUAGAAAUAUACAUGUUUUACAAAGAAAAUAUAUACUUUUUGUUAAGAAAAUGAAAACAAAAAAUCACACAAAUAGAAAACACCAAUAAAUUUAGCACUUUUAUCUAUUAUUCAAUCAAAAGGUAAAAAAUAAUUAAGUUUUAUUUCAUUUGAAACAUAAUAGAAGUAAAAAAUUAAAAUUCAUUUAUAAUAUAGGAAACUCGCGGGUACCCGUUGUACCUGCGCUACCCAAAAAUACUCGGAAAUACCUGUACACGGGUACCCAUUGUACUUGCGAGUACCCAGAAAUACCCACAAACCCCUGCAUACUAGUACCCGUACUGUUUGACUUUCUUAAUUCAGUAAUUUGCACAAGGAAUAGAUAAAGAAGCAUUUGGCCUCAAAUGACAAAAAAUUGCAGCAACAACACAUUUCCGUUUGCGGGGAAAUUUUUUAAAACAUUAUAAAUUUAUAGCAAUUAUGAUAGAAAGUAUUCAGGGUACAUGAAGGAGUCUAGCUACUCUUCAUUACUAAUGAUGGUAAAAAAAUCCAACUCAUCGGUACUCGUAAUAAUAACUUACAGGUGGGAGCGAGUUUUGUAAUACCCGCAAAUUUAUAUAUUUAGCUUUUAGUUAAUUUUUUAUAUAUAUUUAUUAUUAUUUUAAGAUUAUAUAUCAUAUACUUUAUUAUUAUUUCAUAAUAAAUUACAUAUAUGACUACGAUCAUAAAUUUAUCAUAUAAAUAUCAUAUUAUUCAUAUAACAAUUAUUUUUACAUAAUAAUUAUUAUAAAUAUUAAAAUUAAAAAUCCGUUAGAUACCAACAAAUACCCACUAUCCGUAGGGUACCCACAAAUAUUAUAGGUUUGGACAUGGGAAAGUAAUACCCACCUCCGCCGGUGCCUGUUGUCAUCCAUGUCCAUUAGUGGAGAAUGACAAAAAUAGAUUUUCAAUGACACAGAUUUUUUUUUUUUUUUAAAUUAGAUAUUUUAAGAAAAUUUAUUUAUGCCACCUAUUACUUUGGUGUGACAUAUCAAAAAGUUUAUUUUCUCUUAAUAUUGAGGUCGUUUGAGGAGCCUGCUUCCCCAACAGAGGAGCUUCCAUCCUUUUCUGAUGCCAGGGAUAGCAUAGCUUUGUGAGUUUCUUCGUCUCCCUCUAUGCACUUAUUUUCUCUUUAAGUUUUACAUUUACUUUUUCUCUACUCUGGUCCUUUAUCAUUGACAAGAGUCCAAUUUAUAUACCAGAUUAUCUCGUUGUUGAUGAAACAUGACUUAUGAGAUUGUACAAAAACUAGGCUGUUAGUAAUAUUAAUUUAAAAAGCCAUCAUCAUUUGGUUGACUUGAUAGGUUCUCAUUGUGCUCUAGAUGUUGGGAUAGGUAACUAAACCUCUGUUAAUUUAGCAGAUGUUUUAGCUUGAAACUUGUGAUUUUAGGUUAUGUUGGAAUAACAGAGUCUAAGGUUGAAGGGCAAGAUCCUGACUAAGUUGAAGAAACAUUUUGAUGGAAUUUCUGGUUGUGAGUGUUUUUGGUGUUUGGCAUUGUUUAAAGAGUAAAUUAAUUGACACCCUGAGUUUUAGUGAAAUUAUACAAACUACUCCUCAUUUUUUUACAUUACACAAACCUCCCAUAAUUCUACUUUCAUUACACUGACCAGCCCUGCAUAAGAAAAUAAGUGUAAUAUUUUAAACAAAAAAAUAUGAUAAACACAAUUAAGUUAGUUAAACAAAACAUGAUAUAUUGUGGUGGAGACAAAUCCAAAUAAUAUAUGAGUCAAUAUUUCUUUAUUAUUUUUGGUUCGUUACACUAUAUUAUAAGAGCGAUUUAAACAAUAUUUCAAUAGAAUUGUUGAUUCCACAGGUUAGUUUAUCUUAAUUUGGGCCAUGCUAUUUUUAGUAGCUAGCUCCUGUGUUGGCAAUAUAGGCAUUUAAGCUGAGUUAUUGAAUAUGCUUUUAUGUCCAAACUCAAGUUGGAUAAUUUUUUUAAUUGUCUCACAUUUUGACUACCCCAUUUUUCUGCUUUAGGUUCUAUCUAACAGUUUGUCUUGUACUUGAAUUCUACAGCUUGCUGGUGUACAGCUUUCUGUAUUGGUUCCAUCUGCAGGUGCUGAUGCAAUCAGCCUUAUCACAGUAAGUAGCUUUGCAUUUAUCACAUGUUGAGCUAGUCCUUUCAACCAUUUCUCAACUAACAGAGUCUAAUGUUUUUCUUCUUCCUGUUUUCUCUAUUCCUACUAAUGUAGUCACUUUGUUCAUGGGAUCCUUGCAAGAGGCCAACAGCUUCGGAGGCUCUCCAACAUCCUUUCUUCCAGGUGUUUUUUUAACUAGAAGUCAUGUUUUGUUGUCUAUCUUCUGUGCAAGAAAGAUAUCACAAUUUUCCCUUUAUCAGCUGUUUUUUUACCUAUUUUUUCUUGUUUAUCUGUUUUGUUGUAGAGUUGCUUUUACAUUCCUCCAUCCCUCCGCACCAGAGCGGUAGCGAGAGCUCCUCCAUCUGGUUUGUAUUUUUAUUUAUGUAGUUAACUACGGACAUGUUUAUUGUACAGCUGUGUGGGGUUCAUAAUUGUAGUUAUCCUUUUUUGUCCUUUUUCUUCUUUAAGCUGGAACCAGGGGAGCAUUGGAUCCGCAAGGGGUCAGGAGAUAUUCCGGUGCUUUACCUAAUUCAAAGCUCACCAAUAAUUUUACUUCCCCGAAAUUACAUCCUCCUUUAGCUUCAGGUGAUCUGAAUUGGUUUAGCAUAAUAGAUUGAGUUCCAUGUUUCCUUUUCUCUGACUUGAAGAGCUAGAGCUAAAUUAUAUUAUUUAAUCUGGUUAGAAAUAUCUAUGUUAUUCAUUAUAUAUCUGAAUGAAGGAAAGUGAGGCAUGUAACUAAGCCUUUUCCCAUUGGGCUAUGUGUACAAUAAAUGUAUUUUUAUCAUUUAGUGGCAUACCAUGGCUCAUAUUUUGAAU